rnacentral:rRNA from 1 species
GGCCAGACUCCUACGGGAGGCAGCAGUGGGGGAUAUUGCACAAUGGGGGGAACCCUGAUGCAGCGACGCCGCGUGGGUGAAGAAGCGCCUCGGCGCGUAAAGCCCUGUCAGCAGGGAAGAAAAUGACGGUACCUGAAGAAGAAGCCCCGGCUAACUACGUGCCAGCAGCCGCGGUAAUACGUAGGGGGCAAGCGUUAUCCGGAUUUACUGGGUGUAAAGGGGGCGCAGACGGCGAUGCAAGCCAGGAGUGAAAGCCCGGGGCUCAACCCUGGGACUGCUCUGGAAACUGUAAAGCUGGAGUGCGGGAGGGGCAGGCGGAAUUCCUGGUGUAGCGGUGAAAUGCGUAGAUAUCAGGAGGAACACCGGCGGCGAAGGCGGCCUGCUGGACCGUAACUGACGUUGAGGCUCGAAAGCGUGGGGAGCAAGCAGGAUUAGAUACCCCUGUAAC